rnacentral:rRNA from 1 species
GAUGAACGCUGGCGGCGUGCCUAAUACAUGCAAGUCGAACGAAACUUCUUUAUCACCGAGUGCUUGCACUCACCGAUAAAGAGUUGAGUGGCGAACGGGUGAGUAACACGUGGGCAACCUGCCCAAAAGAGGGGGAUAACACUUGGAAACAGGUGCUAAUACCGCAUAACCAUAGUUACCGCAUGGUAACUAUGUAAAAGGUGGCUAUACUACCGCUUUUGGAUGGGCCCGCGGCGCAUUAGCUAGUUGGUAGGGUAAAGGCUUACCAAGGCAAUGAUGCGUAGCCGAAUUGAGAGGUUGAUCGGCCACAUUGGGACUGAGACACGGCCCAAACUCCUACGGGAGGCAGCAGUAGGGAAUCUUCCACAAUGGGCGAAAGCCUGAUGGAGCAACGCCGCGUGGGUGAAGAAGGUCUUCGGAUCGUAAAACCCUGUUGUUAGAGAAGAAAGUGCGUGAGAGUAACUGUCCACGUUUCGACGGUAUCUAACCAGAAAGCCACGGCUAACUACGUG